rnacentral:tRNA from 1 species
GCCCCGGUGGCCGAGUGGUCAAGGCGUGAGACCGUAAGUCUCAUUGGUUCUACCAGCGCGGGUUCGAGUCCCGCCCGGGGCG